AGAGUUUGAUCCUGGCUCAGAACGAACGCUGGCGGCAGGCUUAACACAUGCAAGUCGAACGGGCGUAGCAAUACGUCAGUGGCAGACGGGUGAGUAACACGUGGGAACCUUCCUAGGGGUACGGAACAACUCAGGGAAACUUGAGCUAAUACCGUAUACGUCCGUGAGGAGAAAGAUUUAUCGCCCUUAGACGGGCCCGCGUCGGAUUAGCUAGUUGGUGGGGUAACGGCCUACCAAGGCGACGAUCCGUAGCUGAUCUGAGAGGAUGAUCAGCCACACUGGGACUGAGACACGGCCCAGACUCCUACGGGAGGCAGCAGUGGGGAAUCUUGGACAAUGGGCGCAAGCCUGAUCCAGCCAUGCCGCGUGAGUGAAGAAGGCCUUCGGGUUGUAAAGCUCUUUUGUCAGGGACGAUAAUGACGGUACCUGAAGAAUAAGCCCCGGCAAACUUCGUG
rnacentral:rRNA from 1 species